rnacentral:rRNA from 1 species
CCUACGGGAGGCAGCAGUGAGGAAUAUUGGUCAAUGGGCGCAAGCCUGAACCAGCCAAGUCGCGUGAGGGAUGACGGCCCUACGGGUUGUAAACUUCUUUUAUCGAGGAGUAAGGUGCGGCACGUGUGCCUGUUUGUAUGUACUUUGUAGAUAAGGAUCGGCUAACUCCGGGCCCGCAGCCGCGGUAAUACGGGGGAUCCGGACGUUAUCCGGAUUUAUUGGGGUUAAAGGGAGCGUAGAUGGGUUGUUAAGUCAGGUGUGAAAGUUUGCGUCUCAACCGUCACAUUGCAAUUGAUACUGGUAGUCUGGAGUACAGGUGAGGUAGGCGGAAUGCGUGGUGUAGCGGUGAAAUGCUUAGAUAUCACGAAGAACUCCGAUUGCGAAGGCAGCAUACCAAAGUGCAACUGACAUUGAUGCUCGAAAGCGUGGGUAUCAAACAGGAUUAGAUACCCGAGUAGUC